rnacentral:rRNA from 1 species
AGCGGCGGAUGGGUGAGUAACACGUGGGGAACCUGCCCCUAAGUCUGGGAUACCAUUUGGAAACAGGUGCUAAUACCGGAUAAUAAAGCAGAUCGCAUGAUCAGCUUUUGAAAGGCGGCGUAAGCUGUCGCUAAGGGAUGGCCCCGCGGUGCAUUAGCUAGUUGGUAAGGUAACGGCUUACCAAGGCGACGAUGCAUAGCCGAGUUGAGAGACUGAUCGGCCACAUUGGGACUGAGACACGGCCCAAACUCCUACGGGAGGCAGCAGUAGGGAAUCUUCCACAAUGGACGCAAGUCUGAUGGAGCAACGCCGCGUGAGUGAAGAAGGUUUUCGGAUCGUAAAGCUCUGUUGUUGGUGAAGAAGGAUAGAGGUAGUAACUGGCCUUUAUUUGACGGUAAUCAACCAGAAAGUCACGGCUAACUACGUGCCAGCAGCCGCGGUAAUACGUAGGUGGCAAGCGUAGUCCGGAUUUAUUGGGCGUAAAGCGAGCGCAGGCGGAAAAAUAAGUCUAAUGUGAAAGCCCUCGGCUUAACCGAGGAACUGCAUCGGAAACUGUUUUUCUUGAGUGCAGAAGAGGAGAGUGGAACUCCAUGUGUAGCGGUGGAAUGCGUAGAUAUAUGGAAGAACACCAGUGGCGAAGGCGGCUCUCUGGUCUGCAACUGACGCUGAGGCUCGAAAGCAUGGGUAGCGAACAGGAUUAGAUACCCUGGUAGUCCAUGCCGUAAACGAUGAGUGCUAAGUGU